rnacentral:rRNA from 1 species
CGGACGGGUGAGUAAUGUCUGGGAAACUGCCUGAUGGAGGGGGGUAACUACUGGAAACGGUAGCUAAUACCGCAUAACGUCGCAAGACCAAAGAGGGGGACCUUCGGGCCCCUUGCCAUCGGAUGUGCCCAGAUGGGAUUAGCUAGUAGGUGGGGUAACGGCUCACCUAGGCGACGAUCCCUAGCUGGUCUGAGAGGAUGGCCAGCCACACUGGAACUGAGACACGGUCCAG